rnacentral:lncRNA from 1 species
UUUUUUGUAUAAUUGUUAAAUUUUAUUACUAAGUUUUUUUUACAGAAGAACAUAGAUGACAAAGAAACAAAAAAUGCACAAAUGAACUAAACACAUACUAAUACUAACCUAAGACCUGAUCUAAACUAAGCAUUGCUUACUACAAGCAGCGCAACAACCUAGAGGAUACAACAAAGUUGGAACAACCACUUGCCACAAAAGAGACAGUGCAUUAAGCACGAGAGCUGAAUCCAGUAGAAUUCGACAAUAUCCGAUGACCAGCUCUAAAGAUCAGCUCCUCAACAACAGCUAGCUUGUGAGAGACCUCCUAAUCAGCAGCCACCAUGGAGAGAACACCCGAGCAAGCACCAAUUCAAGCCGAAAUCCCUCACAGAACACAAAAAAUAAACACGGGUUGAGAAGAGGCUGCUUCGCCUGGUGGUCAGUUUUGACAAACUUUUGAAUGGGGUCCCACUUAAAAAAUCUUAUAUAUGCAUUUGUGUUUUUGGUAUAAUAACAUAUAAAUAUUAAUGGUAAACCAAAACUGAAUAAAAAAUUUAGUUGCUAAAAAUGUUUAAAAUAUAUUAAAUAUGUUUGACAUUAUAUAAUUCAGAUAUAAAUGAAUAAUAUACUAUAAUUAUGUUUUUCUAAAUAAAAAUUUAUUUACAAACUUUAUAAAAAUAUUAAAUAAUUAAUAAAUAGUUUUUUAAUGGGACUCCGAAAAUCACAAGACAGCUAUGUUGGUGGUGAUGAGCACCUGCAACCAAGAAGAAUGGAGACCCUCCUAUCGAAGACUGCCGAG